CAGUCGACGAGAAGGGAGUGCUUGCAUUCCCGAGUAGAGUGGCGCACGGGUGAGUAACACGUGGAUAAUCUACCUUUGAAUCCGGGAUAACUGUUCGAAAGAAUCGCUAAUACCGAAUGAAGUCAAUGUUUCCUAGGAGAUAUUGAUGAAAGACAGCCUCUUCUUGAAAGCUGUUGUUUGAAGAUGAGUCCGCGCACCAUUAGCUUGUUGGUGGGGUAAAGGCCUACCAAGGCUCUGAUGGUUAGCUGGUCUGAGAGGAUGAUCAGCCACACUGGAACUGACACACGGUCCAGACUCCUACGGGAGGCAGCAGUGAGGAAUUUUGCGCAAUGGGGGCAACCCUGACGCAGCAACGCCGCGUGAGUGAAGAAGGCCCUUGGGUCGUAAAACUCUGUCAAUGGGGAGGGAAGUUAUUAUACUUUAAUAGAGUAUAGUAUUGACGGUACCCAUGAAAGGAAGCACCGGCUAACUCCGUGCCAGCAGCCGCGGUUAUACGGGGGGGUGGCAGCGUUAUUCGGGAUUAUUGGGCGUAAAGGGCACGCAGGCGGUCCUACAA
rnacentral:rRNA from 1 species